CGGGGUGCAGCAGGCGCGAAAACUUUACAAUGCCGGCAACGGCGAUAAGGGAACCUCGAGUGCCAGGUUACAAAUCUGGCUGUCGUGAUGCCUAAAAAGCAUUGCAUAGCAAGGGCCGGGCAAGACCGGUGCCAGCCGCCGCGGUAACACCGGCGGCUCGAGUGGUAACCGUUAUUAUUGGGUCUAAAGGGUCUGUAGCCGGCCGGGUAAGUCUCUUGGGAAAUCUGGCAGCUUAACUGUCAGGCUUUCAGGAGAUACUGCCUGGCUCGAGGCCGGGAGAGGUGAGAGGUACUUCAGGGGUAGGGGUGAAAUCUUGUAAUCCUUGAAGGACCACCAGUGGCGAAGGCGUCUCACCAGAACGGACCUGACGGCAAGGGACGAAAGCUAGGGGCACGAACCGGAUUAGAUACCCGGGUAGUCCUAGCCGUAAACGAUACUCGCUAGGUGUCGGCCACGGUGCGACCGUGGUCGGUGCCGUAGGGAAGCCGUGAAGCGAGCCACCUGGGAAGUACGGCCGCAAGGCUGAAACUUAAAGGAAUCGGCGGGGGAGCACAAGGGCGAAUUCGCG
rnacentral:rRNA from 1 species